rnacentral:lncRNA from 1 species
UGUAGCAUUCAAUACAAUUCUUCUUUCUUCGAUCUCCCUCCACCCCCUUCGUUUGUUGUAGUCGUGUAUGAUUUGGAACCGCCGCUCGAUAUACUUUGAUUUCUAAUAAGACUUCGACUACUUAGCAAGUGCUAUGGCUCUAUUAUUGUCACAAUAUAGCAGUAUGGCAUCCAAUGUCAUUACCUCAAGGUCUAUGAUGAAUUUUUUAAACUAGAAGCCUUCCUUUGCAGCAUCCAA